rnacentral:misc_RNA from 1 species
GCUUCAUUUUUAACUGGGCUAUGGAGGGCGGUGUUAGCUUUUUCGUGUGCAUGGCAUCUCGGGGGCCACUAGGCUAGUCGACCGCUGUUUCAGGUAGCCGACCCUUCAUGCCAGUGCAAUGCCAAGAGCUCUGUUGUGUACCAACACUCUAAAAAUUGCUGGUUUUCCUAUGCCUCCUGGGCUGUGAAGAUCGAGAAAUGGGUAAGGAGAACGUCUAGCUGUGGGUAUCUCUAUUUUCCUGGACCACGAUUUGACUCUUAGGCAUGAUGCCAUUUUCAUACUCUAGUUUGUGGUCCUUGUUUCAUUGUUGAAAAUGCAUGGUGGUGGUGUUCAUAGUUGGUCUUCUCAACUUUCUUAACCUUAACUCUAGCAUUUUCUAAGUUGUGGGUCAAUGAGCUUUUGUAUGAGCUUUA